UACGGAGGGUGCAAGCGUUAUCCGGAUUCACUGGGUUUAAAGGGUGCGUAGGUGGGCUAGUAAGUCCGUGGUGAAAUCUCCAAGUUUAACUUGGAAACUGCCGUGGAUACUAUUAGUCUUGAAUAUUGUGGAGGUAAGCGGAAUAUGUCAUGUAGCGGUGAAAUGCUUAGAUAUGACAUAGAACACCGAUAGCGAAGGCAGCUUGCUACACAAUCAUUGACACUGAGGCACGAAAGCGUGGGGAUCAAACAGG
rnacentral:rRNA from 1 species